rnacentral:rRNA from 1 species
AUUGAACGCUGGCGGCAGGCCUAACACAUGCAAGCCGAGCGGAUGACGGGAGCUUGCUCCUUGAUUCAGCGGCGGACGGGUGAGUAAUGCCUAGGAAUCUGCCUGGUAGUGGGGGACAACGUUUCGAAAGGAACGCUAAUACCGCAUACGUCCUACGGGAGAAAGCAGGGGACCUUCGGGCCUUGCGCUAUCAGAUGAGCCUAGGUCGGAUUAGCUAGUAGGUGAGGUAAUGGCUCACCUAGGCGACGAUCCGUAACUGGUCUGAGAGGAUGAUCAGUCACACUGGAACGGAGACACGGUCCAGACUACUACGGGAGGCAGCAGAGGGGAAUAUUGGGCAAUGGGCGAAAGCCUGAUCCAGCCAUGCCGCGUGUGUGAAGAAGGUCUUCGGAUUGUAAAGCACUUUAAGUUGGGAGGAAGGGCAGUAAGCUAAUACCUUGCUGUUUUGACGUUACCGACAGAAUAAGCACCGGCUAACUCUGUGCCAGCCGCCGCAGUAA